UGAGUUGCUCGCUGAGACUUUCAGACGCUGAUGUAGGCCUGCUUUUGAGGUUGUUACGUCUGCGAUAUUGGAGGAGGCUCAUCCUUCGCCUGAGUUUGGAUCUGCCCGUAACCGAUAAUCUAGCGGGUUCAAGAACUUUUGAGAGAUCUGAAGGGGAGCCACCCGAUGGUCGCGGAGCUGGCGAAGCCAUAUUCGAUAGCAGAAGAGCAGUUAUAGGAGACCCUCUGGCAAAUUUGCAAAUCUUUUGGACAUUGAUUCAAUAGGGGGUGAGCGAAGCGAGUGUUGGUUUGAAAGGAAAAUUUUUACACACUCAAUCCCGAAUUAUAUUGUAGAAAGAAGAUGACGCCAUCGGGCGAUGCAUUCAAAGCAAUAAUAGGAAUAAUGGACAGGUGAGAAAAGUGACGAAAUUCUACGGAUUAUAUUCCUCUUAAAAGGGAGUGGCCUACGUAUACGGCCGAUCAAAACGAUAAUGGAACGAUUUGGAGGAAAGAUCAUUGAUUCCUGUUCAAAUGUAUGGAGCGGUGAUUGAGCCAAGCAAGUAGAGAAACUAGAUAUAGAGAACAGUUUUCGUGGUUGCAUUAUUAAAUUUUGCCAUCAUCUAGAUCAAUUCACGGGAAAGAACAGGCUUCAGCAGGGCGGUGGUAACCUAAAUUGCGAGAAGGAUCGAUGGAUUCAUGCGAUUGGGUAGACUUGGGAAUCGCGGAUCUAAACAAAUUGGAAGGAGAAUCCAUGUAGACAUCUUGCAUCCGCGAUUUCGUCUAUAGAAGCAACAUAUUUGGCAUCUGCAGCCAUGAGAAAUGUGUGGUAUGAGUAGUUGGGGAAUCAAUGUUUUAAAGGGGUAAUUUCCUUGAGAUUCGCCCAUUUCAAUUAUCGCACAACAGAUCAACCAGUGAAAGCUGGAAGGAGACAGUUAAAUCGAAAUAUUGCUGUAGCAAAGCUAGGACAGCGGAACGUAACUGUUGCUUGAAUGAUAACAGAAGCUAUGUAGUAAAGGGCUGC
rnacentral:sRNA from 1 species